rnacentral:rRNA from 1 species
GUUCGAACAAGUGAUGUCGACACCGAUGACUUCCCGAUUAAGAUAGGACUGCAUCAGGGGUCAGCUUUGAGACCUUAUCUUUUUGCAUUGGUGAUGGAUGAGGUCACAAGGGGUAUACAAGGAGAUAUCCCAUGGUGUAUGCUCUUUGCGGAUGAUGUGGUGCUAGUUGACGAUAGUCGGACGGGGGUAAAUAGGAAGUUAGAGUUAUGGAGACAAACCUUGGAAUCGAAAGGGUUUAGGCUUAGUAGAACUAAAACCGAGUACAUGAUGUGCGGUUUCAGUACUACUAGCUGUGAGGAGGAGGAGGUUAGCCUUGAUGGCCAGGUGGUACCUCGGAAGGACACCUUUCGGUAUUUGGGGUCAAUGUUGCAGGAGGAUGGGGGUAUUGAU